rnacentral:rRNA from 1 species
UACGAAGGUGGCAAGCGUUACUCGGAAUUACUAGGCGUAAAGGGCAGGUAGGUGGUUUGGUAAGUCUAUUGUGAAAGCUCCCGGCUCAACUGGGAGAGGUCAAUGGAUACUGCUGAACUUGAGUAUAGGAGAGGUUACUGGAAUUCCCGGUGUAGCGGUGAAAUGCGCAGAGAUCGGGAGGAACACCAAUGGCGAAAGCAGGUAACUGGACUAUUACUGACACUGAGAGACGAAAGCUAGGGUAGCAAAUGGG